rnacentral:rRNA from 1 species
CGUGUAGGCGGUCAGGUAAGUGGAAUGUGAAAUGCCCCGGCUCACCCGGGGACCGGCAUCCCAAACUGCCUGGCUUGAGUAUGGGAGAGGAUGGAGGAAUUCCUGGUGUAGCGGUGAAAUGCGUAGAUAUUAGGAGGAACACCGGUGGCGAAGGCGUCCAUCUGGCCCAAUACUGACGCUGAGGCGCGAAAGCUAGGGGAGCAAACGG